UACGUAGGGUCCGAGCGUUGUCCGGAGUUACUGGGCGUAAAGCGCGCGCAGGCGGCUUCAUAAGUCUGGCGUGAAAGCCCCCGGCUCAACCGGGGAGGGUCGUCGGAGACUGUGGAGCUUGAGGGCGGUAGGGGCUGGUGGAAUUCCCGGUGUAGUGGUGAAAUGCGUAGAGAUCGGGAGGAACACCUGUGGCGAAGGCGGCCAGCUGGGCCGACCCUGACGCUGAGAAGCGAAAGCAUGGGGAGCGAACAGG
rnacentral:rRNA from 1 species